ensembl:lncRNA
CCCAAGUCCUCAGCAGUCAAUGACACUGACCCGUUCAAACUGCUUCUUAACGCGUACUUCACGCGUAUUUAGCAGGACUUCACGUGUAUUUAACAGGUUAAAUACACGUAUUUAACGCGCUGAUUUUUCAGGCGUAAACGACACGUAUUUAAUGCGUUAAAUACGUGUUUACGCGUGAAAUACGCAUAUUUAACGUGUUGUUUACACAUUAAAAUUCGCGUGUUUUAGACCCUCUGGGCCUUCCAUACUUGGACGUUGAUAUGAGGUUCAAAAUUUGACCGUCCGGCUACAACGUGCAGAACAGGUUCAGGAAAUCGACAUAACUUUUUUUUUUAUAUAUAUAUAUAUACAUAUAAACACAACAAAGCAAUCCUUUGAUUUCCGAUUUAAAUAUCGCAUGUACCCUAUAAUCUUAAGAAACUUUUGGGUGUUAAAAUGAUGUAAUAUAUAAAUGUUUAAAAACAUUAAACAUUUAUAAUUACAUAAUGUGACCAUAUAAAAUCUUACAUGGAUUUAUUUAUGGUAUGGUUUGUGGUAUUUUUCACUGGAGCAUUGACAGAAACAGCAGUUUACAUCUGUAUUAGAUCUAUAAAUUAAAUAUAGUUAAUUAAAGUUAAAUAUAUUAAAGUUUAAUAAAUUUAAAUAGAUAAUUAGAUUAAAAUAUUUCCUUUUCAAUAAUAAAUAUUUAACACAUAGAUUUAAAUUGGAUGAAAUAGUGCAUUUAAACGUGCGCUCGCCACUAGGGGCGUUAACGUGAUGUUACGUGAGUGACGUAAACGUGAGGGCAAAAAAAAAAAAACGUAAACGUGAUGGCCUAUGGUGAUGGCGCAAACAAUCACGAAGACGGAAGAAUAAUUCUGUUUAUUACAAAAGACUGAAGAUAUAACUACAGCUAUUCUUUAAUUUAUUUAUUUCUACGUUGAGGACACUUUAUAAACCUACAGAGAUACCUGACCAACGAACGACCUUCACAACGGGACAGAGCUAACAUAACGUUAACGGUUACUUGGAAAUUCAAACAGUAACGGAUCUGACAACUGUGCUGAGCCAAAGUUGGUGAAGAUGGAGAUGUUGUGACGACCAGGACAGUUCCUCCUAGCACACCAGACUCUGCUGUAUGUGGACGCCUGUCCACUAGCACUGGACAUUUACAACAUUUGGUGCCAGGGACCUCUUGCAGAGAAGAUUUUUCAAGGACACCCUCAGAAUUACAACAGAUUUUAAGGCUUGAAAUUAUUGUGGGUGGGAGUAUAAUGAACAUAAUAUGAUUGUUUUAUUUAUUCAUUUAUUUUUUUAAAUGGUCCCCAUUUUUUUUAAUAAUACAUUUGUUUAAUGCACAAUAUAGGGCUAAGUUGCACCAGGUCAGGAAAAAACACAUAAGUUGCAUCUGUGUAUAAGACACAUUUUUCUAUUAAUUUCAGAAAUAAAUUAAAUACUGAUAAAUAAAACAAACGUUAAGAAACUUAAAAACUAUAAACACUGUAAAGAUUUUAUUUUCGCUCACUUCAAAUCAUUUAAAUUUAACGCUAUUCAAAACAGAACAAAAAUAAAAAAUAUUUAGGCCUAUGUAUAAAAUAAACAAAUUCUAGAGCCAUUAUUUACAAGCAGUAUUUCUUUUGUUAAAUAAAGAAAACAAACAAAAUGCACUUGCUAUCUCAGUUUCUGUGAACCUCAUGCUGAAAAUUUAGAAAACACAGUGGUACAGACAAUACCACUGUGUACAGACAGACUUGUCACACAGACAUGAGAACUAUAGAAACCUGUAAGUGCCUGCUUUUAAGUGUUUACGGUUUGCUUAGGCUUUUUGACAUUACAACCAUUAUAUAAAAGUUACUUUGGAAUAAUUCAGCACAUCUCAGAAGAUUAAAAAAUAUGACUUGUAGUCUGGAAAAUAUGGUAUAAAUUAUUUUGUGGACCCCUUUGCUUUGGUCCUGAACCCCAGAUUGAAAACCCUUGCAUUGUAGCAUAUUGUGUGUUUUUUUUCAUUAUUAUUAUUGUGCAUGCAGAUAAUAUUCGGGCACAUGAACACCUGACUAUUGCAUGAAUGAAGAAUACCAUCUUUAAGAAUUUUAUGCUAAUUGCAGUUGAAAUAAAAAUGAAAAAGCUUUAAAAGUUCAGCUCCAGCAGGUAAACAUAAUGUGUGGACCCAACUAAACUAAAUUGUUUGUUGUUAAUUGUUAUCCACUGUGUAAUGACUGAAAAUUAUUUUAUUUUCAUGUUUUUUGUGUGAACACACUGUUUCUUUAAGUUUAUUUACAAGUACAAAAAGAAAUUGCAUUGAAAUAAACAUGAGAUUUAAUUGAAUGCAGCCUAUAUGUCAUAAGGUCCUGGAACUGCAGUUGUUGCUAACGGCGCGAUAUGAGAAACACCUCCACAUGUGCCCAGCGGAGAUGUUGUGCGUUUAUGCAAAAUAUGUGAGCUGAAUUCCUUCCAAACGCCGUAGAAGGCCACUGCCUGCAUUACCCGCCGGGUGUUCUCCCCAGGGUUUGGACCUCCAACGAGGCUUAAAUGAUGUGUCUGCAAGAUGGAAUACAUUUUCUAAAUAGUAUCGUCUUUUAUCUUUUCUUCAAGGGAGAGGAGUUCAUUGAUGGUGCCACACACUUCAAGGCUCAUCUCCUCUGCUUGCUGGCUAAGGAGGUGAUCUGAGGAGAAUCAAUAUUGAUUCGUUAAAAUUAAGGACCUGGUUUAACCAGCAGUGGAGAGAGUCAUGAAGGAGAAUCACCAAAUAACACUGACAGCGAAGGGUGUCUCUGGGUGGAGUUGGCCUUAUUGGCACAUCAGGCAUGGGAAGCUCUCCACAUCUUGAUGGCAUCUUUAUUGAUUGAUUGAAGGUGGUUUGCUUGUUAGGUUCAUACCUUCAUAAGAGCUGCUGAGACACACCGGUCGUCUUUUCCUUUUGGGGGUGUCAUCACAGCUCUCAAGUGAAGAUUGCACAGCUGCUUUUUUCGACCACUUUUUUGCUCUUUCAUAGUCAUCUUAAGCAAAAAUAUGCCUCCUAGCAACCUGAAUCAGUGGGUUUCUACCAGAACGCACCAUCCUCUUGAGUGUUUGCAGGUAGUUUUCAAACAUGAAGGCACUACAAUUUUCCAGACCACCGAAGUUUUCGGCAUCUUUUGCUAUGUGCAGCAUGGCAUGUGUGUUGUAAACAAGGAACUCUUGUCCAUAAAGAAUCCGACCUUUUCCACAAAAUAAUGCAGCAGUUCAUCUGCAUAUUUCGAGUGUUCCUGCACAAGACUUGGACAUACCAAGAUUAUCAUGGCCACGCUAAAGGAAAGGAAGUGCAAAUACAUUUCAUCAGGCAGUAUUCCCUUCAACACAAUCUUCCCAGUGUAAAGAAGGAACUGACGAAACUCAGUCGCUUUCCACCUGUCCAGUUCCUCAAGACCUCUAGGCUUUCGCACAAAAGUAGAUGGGAUGCAUUUCCGAAGAGACCGCAGUCUUGCACUAAUCUCUGUGAUUUGGCUGGCUGAAACACUCACAACUCUGUCUCCUCUGGUCCAGAUGUGCAGGAGUCUUUUCAUUACACCUAGACAAGCCUGGUGCAUGUAAUCAAUGGGAAAACUCUGCACCAUGUCUAUGGGGAGGUGAGACAGAGUGAAUCCCAUGAUUCAUCAGAUGAGCCAGUUCCCUUACUGUGUCUUCCAAAAAGCCAAGAUCUGUUGGUCGACUUAGACUGCUUGUCAGAGCCGUGGGGAAAAUGGUGACAGGGUCUAACAUGACUGCACAAAGAACUGGCCACAUACAUGUUUUGGAACUCUUGUACAGUGGUGGCAGUACCAACGAUGUUUCGUCCAGCAUUAAAUUACUGCAGAAGAAGAAUACCGCCAACGUGACGCGGAUAUUAUAUCUUAAUGGAGGAAUAAACCUGAAACAGCACUUCCAAGAACUUCUUGAUUGUCGUUUAUGGAUUCCUCAUGAAAUUUGGGAUUGUCGGUUUGGAUGGACCAGGAGUUGGUGUCACUGGAAAAACUCUCAUGGUGGCCCGCUGAUGACUGAGGAUAGAUGUGCCUUGCUGCUUUUCGAAAAGGACUUCUGUCCUGAUGUUUGGCUGUGGUCCCCCCAUCAUCCACUCUUUGGCAACAAGUCUUUGUAUGCAGACCACCAUGAUCUAAUCUAUACAGACCUAGUUGUCUCUUCUCCCACAAACUCCACUUUCAGGAGUACCUUUUACAAAGGUGUCACCAUGAGCUCCCGACCUCCUGACCUCUCCGUGGCUGAGCUGUAUUAGGACUUUGUCAGAACUACAUCUUUUUUGGUCACCACAAUCUGGAUGUGUUCAGUGAGGAUUCAUCGGUGGAUUUCACCUUUGGAAAAGUUUAGGCUGGGAGUGUGUUGUCAUACCAGCAGAAACAAGCUGCAUCAUUACUCACAUCAAGAUGUCCCAUCACCACCACAUCUACCACUUAUUGGUUACAGCCUUGGCACAUCUGUCUGCUUGUUUGUCCAUAGUGAACAUAGUUUUUUAUUUGUAUGUAACCAACACACUUGUACAGGAAAUCUUUAACACCUAAUUAAAGUACUUAUACAUGUUUACACGUUUACAUUAUUAUAGUGCAGGUAACAAAAUAAUUAAAUUUACAUUAUCUACAUUUAUAAAUAAAUGUAUCCAUUUACAAUUUCUAUACUAAAUAUUAUUUUAAUUAAUAUAUUCAGGUGUUCUGUUGUAUUUUUGUAAAGAUUGUGAGUAGCCAAGGGUAUAAAGGGAAUAAAAAAGUGGCGGGACUGUACAAAUCCCAGUAAUCCCAAUCCCAAAUUAAAUGAUUUGUUUCUAUUUCUGGCAUAGUCCAAUUUUUAGUAUAGUUCCAUAGUCCCAUAGGCAUAGUCCCAUAUUUCAAUUUAAAAUAACUGUUUUCUAUGUGAAUAUAUUUUAAAUAUUAUAGCAGUCUAAUAAUAAAAUAAAAGUAGUCUUAAUAAUAAAAAUCAGAAACACUUAUAAUAAAAACGGGAGAGAGAGAGUUAUCUGAGACCAGGGGACCACGUCGCUACAACGUUCCCCAUGGGACCAACUAGCGACGUCUGUUGAGGACAUGCCCACAACGUUUCUGGGACGUUUGCAAACAUUCUAAAAAAAAAAAGUUUAUUUCUUAUAUGGGUAGAUAGAUGUUUGAGUAUUUCGUUACGGGUUUAAAAUGACAAUAGUAUUUAUAAUGUUUACAGUAUACAUUUUGUCAUUUGGAUGUUAUCUUUGUUAUCACUGAUGGACACUUUAGCUAAAGGUAACUUUACCCUUAAAAUUUGCUUUUCACUAAUUCUAUAGUGACUGCAGAAAAAUAGAUAAACAUACAUCCAUAAAUAGCUGUACUAAAGACCAGGGGACCACGUCGCUACAACGUCCUCCAUGGAACUAACUAGCGACGUCUUUUGAGGACGUGCCCACGACGUUUCUGAGACGUUAGCCAAGAUUCUAAAAAAUGGAACUUUACCUCGACGUCCUCACAACGUCGCCAUAAAGUAAUGUCGCGCUAACCAAAUGACGACGAACUGGCGACGUCCUCACAACGUUCUGUGUUUGCUGGGAAGUGCGCUGCGCGCAUAUCAGAAACCAUCUUAACUUGCGUAUUUGCAACUUGCGUAUUUGCCUAAAUGAAUUCUGCCCCACUGCUUAAUGUCUCUGAUCAGUUAAAUUAGUUUUUAAACCACAAUGCUUAAAAUGCGUUUAAAUUAAAAGCUUAUAUCCAUGACGUG